CUGGCUUGGACCAGACUCACUGGAAAUUUCUAUCUGAGCCCUCAGGAGAGGUCUGCAGCACCAGUCUAAAAAUAGGUUUGCUUCAUCUAUACCACAAUGAAGAAGGAAUGGAGAGGACUGUGCCCACACCGUUGACCUGCCGUGACAAUAGAGGGCGUUGUGUGUCUCCCUCUCCUUUCGUCUGCACUGGAAUGAUUUCCACAGAGAAGCCCACGUUCAAGGGUAUUUCCCUCCCUGUGUAACCCUGACCGAGGCCUCAUGAACUUGCUUGCAUUGUCUCAAAAAUGUACAGACAUCCAGGAGACACUCAGGGGUUGCUCCAUGUUUUUGCCCAGAAAUG
rnacentral:lncRNA from 1 species